UACAGAGGUGGCAAGCGUUGUUCGGAAUUACUGGGCGUAAAGGGCGCGUAGGCGGCCUUCUAAGUCAGACGUGAAAUCCCCCGGCUUAACCUGGGAACUGCGUCUGAUACUGGAUGGCUUGAGUUCGGGAGAGGGAUGCGGAAUUCCAGGUGUAGCGGUGAAAUGCGUAGAUAUCUGGAGGAACACCGGUGGCGAAGGCGGCAUCCUGGACCGAUACUGACGCUGAGGAGCGAAAGCCAGGGGAGCAAACGGG
rnacentral:rRNA from 1 species